GAACACAGCAGAAAAUAUUGAUGAACCCUCUUCUUUCUUCCACAGUUUGACGAUGUCGUUCAUCUACUCCCAAUAUCUAUCCCCCUCUUGUUCGAUUAUUCUUCAUCUUCGUUCGAAAGUUUCUCUAUUUGUCUCUAACAAUUUAUCUCUAAGUUUCUCUCCCUAGAAUGUCGAAUGAAGCUUUGUGGGAAACAUAGCAUUCCGUGAAAAUCGAAGCUGAUUGAAAAUCGAAGCUGAUUGUGUCUGAAUUUACCUGAUAUUCCGAAUCUGAA
rnacentral:lncRNA from 1 species